AUUGAACGCUGGCGGCAGGCCUAACACAUGCAAGUCGAACGGUAACAGGAAGCAGCUUGCUGCUUCGCUGACGAGUGGCGGACGGGUGAGUAAUGUCUGGGAAGCUGCCUGAUGGAGGGGGAUAACUACUGGAAACGGUAGCUAAUACCGCAUAAUGUCGCAAGACCAAAGAGGGGGACCUUCGGGCCUCUUGCCAUCGGAUGUGCCCAGAUGGGAUUAGCUUGUUGGUGGGGUGACGGCUCACCAAGGCGACGAUCCCUAGCUGGUCUGAGAGGAUGACCAGCCACACUGGAACUGAGACACGGUCCAGGCUCCUGCGGGAGGCAGCAGUGGGGAAUAUUGCACAAUGGGCGGAAGCCUGAUGCAGCCAUGCCGCGUGUAUGAAGAAGGCCUUCGGGUUGUAAAGUACUUUCAGCGGGGAGGAAGGGAGUAAAGUUAAUACCUUUGCUCAUUGACGUUACCCGCAGAAGAAGCACCGGCUAACUCCGUG
rnacentral:rRNA from 1 species